rnacentral:rRNA from 1 species
GACGAACGCUGGCGGCGUGCUUAACACAUGCAAGUCGAACGGAAAGGCCCUGCUUUUGUGGGGUGCUCGAGUGGCGAACGGGUGAGUAACACGUGAGUAACCUGCCCUUGACUUUGGGAUAACUUCAGGAAACUGGGGCUAAUACCGGAUAUGAGCUCCUGCUGCAUGGUGGGGGUUGGAAAGUUUCGGCGGUUGGGGAUGGACUCGCGGCUUAUCAGCUUGUUGGUGGGGUAGUGGCUUACCAAGGCUUUGACGGGUAGCCGGCCUGAGAGGGUGACCGGCCACAUUGGGACUGAGAUACGGCCCAGACUCCUACGGGAGGCAGCAGUGGGGAAUAUUGCACAAUGGGCGGAAGCCUGAUGCAGCAACGCCGCGUGCGGGAUGACGGCCUUCGAGUUGUAAACCGCUUUCGCCUGUGACGAAGCGUGAGUGACGGUAAUGGGUAAAGAAGCACCGGCUAACUACGUG